rnacentral:misc_RNA from 1 species
GCACUGUAUGCCAUUGUUGUGCACCAACGACCAGGAGCCUCAUAAUCUACUCGAGAUCCCAAAUUAUCAUAUAACCACGCUUUUAUCUUUCCAUCUAAUGCUGUAGAGAAAAUAAACUGAAUGGUUUCUUUAUGGUGAGGGCACACAGAAUAUACAGGUGCCUCAUGACCCUCAAAUGUAUAUUGUCUUGCACCAGAUGUGGCAUCCCAAACCUUUAUAGUUUUGUCAUCUCCGCAUGUUAUGACAG